CUUAUUUGCACUAUUAAUUAUGUUUUGCUAUAGGUAUAGAGCAAAUACGUGAAUUGAGAAAUACACAACCUUUCUCGCCUAGGAGAUGAGGGCUUUGUCGAAGUAUGACACAGACUUCGACCUUGUGAAAUGGAUUUGGAUGUGAGAGGUGUUUUGAUUCCGCUUUAUAUUUGUGGUCAAGUCUCGAUAGCAGCGCUCAGGUCAAGGAGCAGAAAGAAGAUCCCUCAGCUGUGAGAAAUAUGGGUUACAUUCAGAGAUUAACGAAUCGUUGUAAUCGUUUGAGAAUAAUCAAUACAAAUAAAAUUAUAAUAAUUAGUUAAUAGGUGAAAU